UCACUUUCAGAAGUGCAUGUGAUAAAAUUGAAAUGAUACAGAGAAGAUUAUAAUGGCCUUCUGCACCAGAAUGACCUGAAAAUUCACGGAGCAUUCCAUAUUAAA
rnacentral:snRNA from 1 species